rnacentral:rRNA from 1 species
UACGUAGGCAGCGAGCGUUGUUCGGAAUUACUGGGCGUAAAGAGUGUGUAGGUGGUGUCGUAAGUUUGGUGUGAAAUCUCCCGGCUUAACUGGGAGGGUGCGCCGAAGACUGCGAUGCUUGAGUAUGGGAGAGGAAAGCGGAAUUCCUGGUGUAGCGGUGAAAUGCGUAGAUAUCAGGAGGAACACCUGCGGUGUAGACGGCUUUCUGGACCAUUACUGACACUGAGACACGAAAGCGUGGGUAGCAAACAGGAUUAGAUACCCUGGUAGUCCACGCCCUAAACGAUGCAUACUUGGUGUGAGCCAUUCAGUUGGUUCGUGCCGGAGCUAACGCGUUAAGUAUGCCGCCUGGGGAGUACGGUCGCAAGGCUG